GGUGAGCUCUUGGUACCUUGGC
rnacentral:miRNA from 1 species